CCUACUGUUCCUGGGCACCAGGAUUGCUCACUGCUACCAUUCGUAAGCAGAGAAGAAAAGCACCUAGAAAAGAAAAAGACCAUGUCUCCCAAUUCCUGCUUGAGCAAAGCAAGGACACAAUUACUGAGAAAGCAGCGACAGUUAUUGUCGAAGGAGAGAUAGACUGAUUACUUUGAUUCUGUUGAUGAAUUCA